UACGUAGGUGACAAGCGUUGUCCGGAUUUACUGGGCGUAAAGAGCGCGCAGGCGGUCGAUCAAGUCGAGUGUGAAAGCCCCCGGCUCAACUGGGGAGGGUCAUUCGAUACUGAUCGACUUGAAGGCAGGAGAGGGAAGCGGAAUUCCCGGUGUAGUGGUGAAAUGCGUAGAUAUCGGGAGGAACACCAGUGGCGAAGGCGGCUUCCUGGCCUGUUCUUGACGCUGAGGCGCGAAAGCUAGGGGAGCAAGCGGG
rnacentral:rRNA from 1 species